AGUGAACGCUGGCGGCAGGCCUAAUACAUGCAAGUCGAACGGCAGCACAGCAGAGCUUGCUCUGUGGGUGGCGAGUGGCGGACGGGUGAGGAAUACAUGGGAAUCUGCCCAGUCGUGGGGGAUAACGUAUGGAAACGUACGCUAAUACCGCAUGCGCCCUAAGGGGGAAAGCCGGGGACCGCAAGGCCUGGCGCGAUUGGAUGAGCCCAUGUUCGAUUAGCUAGUUGGCGGGGUAAAGGCCCACCAAGGCGACGAUCGAUAGCUGGUCUGAGAGGAUGAUCAGCCACACUGGAACUGAGACACGGUCCAGACUCCUACGGGAGGCAGCAGUAGGGAAUAUUGGACAAUGGGGGCGAACCCUGAUCCAGCCAUGCCGCGUGAGUGAAGAAGGCCCUCGGGUUGUAAAGCUCUUUUGUCCGGAAAGAAAGCAUCGGUUAAUACCCGGUUGUUCUGACGGUACCGGAAGAAUAAGCACCGGCUAACUUCGUGCCAGC
rnacentral:rRNA from 1 species